GACAGAGGGUGCAAACGUUGUUCGGAUUUACUGGGCGUAAAGCGCGUGUAGGCGGCUUUGCAAGUCGGAUGUGAAAGCCCACGGCUCAACCGUGGAAGUGCAUCCGAAACUGCAUGGCUUGAGUCUCGGAGAGGAAGGUGGAAUGCUUGGUGUAGAGGUGAAAUUCGUAGAUAUUAGGAAGAACACCAGUGGCGAAGGCGGCUCACUGGCCCGGUACUGACGCUGAGGCGCGAAAGCGUGGGGAGCAAACAGG
rnacentral:rRNA from 1 species